CCUACGGGUGGCAGCAGUAGGGAAGAUUGCUCAAUGGGGGAAACCCUGAAGCAGCAACGCCGCGUGGAGGAUGAAGGUUUUCGGAUUGUAAACUCCUUGUGUUAGAGAAGAGAAUGACGGUAUCUAACGAAUAAGCACCGGCUAACUCCGUGCCAGCAGCCGCGGUAAUACGGAGGGUGCAAGCGUUACUCGGAAUCACUGGGCGGAAAGAGCGCGUAGGCGGGAUAGCAAGUCAGAUGUGAAAUCCUCUGGCUUAACCAUAGAACUGCAUUUGAAACUGUUAUUCUAGUGUCUGGUAGAGGUAGGUGGCAUUCUUGUUGUAGGGGUCACUUCCGUAUCGAUC
rnacentral:rRNA from 1 species